ACGAACGCUGGCGGCGUGCCUAAUACAUGCAAGUCAACGGCUUUCUAUGGAAGCUUGCUUCCACUGAGAAGAUAGUGGCGAACGGGUGAGUAACACGUGGGUAACCUGCCCAUAAGAGGGGGGAUAACAUCCGGAAACGGGUGCUAAUACCGCAUAGUUUUCUUGAUCGCAUGAUUGAGAAAGGAAAGACGGCCUUUGUGCUGUCGCUUAUGGAUGGACCCGCGGCGUAUUAGUUAGUUGGUGAGGUAACGGCUCACCAAGACAAUGAUACGUAGCCGACCUGAGAGGGUGAUCGGCCACAUUGGGACUGAGACACGGCCCAAACUCCUACGGGAGGCAGCAGUAGGGAAUCUUCCGCAAUGGACGAAAGUCUGACGGAGCAACGCCGCGUGAGUGAAAGAAGGUUUUCGGAUCGUAAAACUCUGUUGUCAGAGAAGAACAAGUUGGAGAGUAACUGCUCCAGCCUUGACGGUAUCUGACCAGAAAGCCACGGCUAACUACGUGCCAGCCGCCGC
rnacentral:rRNA from 1 species